rnacentral:rRNA from 1 species
AUGAACGCUGGCGGCGUGCCUAAUACAUGCACGUCGAGCGAACAGACGAGGAGCUUGCUCCUCUGACGUUAGCGGCGGACGGGUGAGUAACACGUGGAUAACCUACCUAUAAGACUGGGAUAACUUCGGGAAACCGGAGCUAAUACCGGAUAAUAUAUUGAACCGCAUGGUUCAAUAGUGAAAGACGGUUUUGCUGUCACUUAUAGAUGGAUCCGCGCCGCAUUAGCUAGUUGGUAAGGUAACGGCUUACCAAGGCAACGAUGCGUAGCCGACCUGAGAGGGUGAUCGGCCACACUGGAACUGAGACACGGUCCAGACUCCUACGGGAGGCAGCAGUAGGGAAUCUUCCGCAAUGGGCGAAAGCCUGACGGAGCAACGCCGCGUGAGUGAUGAAGGUCUUCGGAUCGUAAAACUCUGUUAUUAGGGAAGAACAAAUGUGUAAGUAACUAUGCACGUCUUGACGGUACCUAAUCAGAAAGCCACGGCUAACUA